rnacentral:rRNA from 1 species
GGAAGGUGCGAGCGUUAAUCGGGAAUCACUGGGCGUAAAGCGCGCGUAGGCGGUUAGGUAAGUCAGAUGUGAAAGCCCCCGGGGCUCAACCUGGGGAACUGCGUUUGAUACUGCCUGACUAGAGUGUGGUAGAGGGAAGUGGAAUUCCACAUGUAGCGGUGAAAUGCGUAGAGAUGUGGAGGAACACCAAUGGCGAAGGCAACUUCCUGGAUCAACACUGACGCUCAGGUGCGAAAGCGUGGGGAGCAAACAGGAUUAGAUACCCUGGUAGUCCACGCUGUAAACGAUGUCUACUAGCCGUUGGGAGGGUUUGCCUCUUAGUGGCGCAGCUAACGUGAUAAGUAGACCGCCUGGGGAGUACGGCCGCAAGGUUA